GCAAGCCUGGGAGGGAGGGGGUGGUGGCCGGCUUCCCAUUCCUGGAGCUGGUCAUGGUGUCGUGUAAUCAACCAAGCCCUUGCAGAGGACAAUAAACUUUGGUCACUGCGGACCUGGGCCAGAUUCUGAUCGAGACACAGAGCUCCUCGCCUUAUCAGCUCUCCAAUCCCCUCUUGCAUGCUGGAUAAAAGAAAAGCCCCCUCACGCUUCAAAGGAGCCCUCACUGGAGCUGGGCAAAUGCCUGAUAUUUUGGUUUGCUAGAGAGACAAGGUGGGGGAGGUAAUAUCUUGUAUUGGACCAACUUCUGUGGAGAAGAAACAUGAGCUUUCUUUGGUUUGUUGGCAGUUCCAAAAAAUUGGAAGAAGAAGAAAAAAAUUGGUUCAACCCAAACCAAAACUUUUCAGAAUUUUUGGCAAAUUGGAAAAGUCAGAAAAAAAUUGUUUCAGACCUUUAAAGCAAAGGAAAUGAAGGGCUAGAUUCACAACACAGAAGCGGCACGUUCCCUCCACCCCCAAUGGUUCGGGCACUACCAGGGCCGGAUUAAGACUUUUAGAGGCCCUAAGCACUGAAAAGAUUAUGGUGCCCCGCAAUAUGUAAUUUAAAAUAAAAACAAUACUAUACCGUAAAUGACACAAAACUUACAUGUAUGCUGAAAUUAAAAUAGCUUCUUUCUAGAUUUUCUGAUUGCAAAAUUCUGGAUAAGUUCAUCGAAGCUGAUUUGACAAAACAUGUCCACUUCCAUACACAAUAGAGAAAGUGAAUCAAGUCUGUCCUGACACAUUGCUGUUCUCUGAGGGGUUUUUAUUCUUUUCAGCUGAGAAAAAGAGCAUUCUGCGGAGCAGUUAGUAAUCAUCAAUGUUAGAAAAAUACGUAGUGCAAUCUCUACAUUUGGAAAUACACAUUGUAUUCUGUCUUUCAAUAUUGUGUCAUGAAGAUCAAUGUGACUGAAUUUCAUUUUUCCUGUUUCAUUAAACUUUGUGCGCAUAUAA